AAGAGAAGGAGAAGAAGAAGAAAGAGAACUAUCCUGUAAUAAGGCUUCUUGCUAGAAAUUUAGUCGACUUGGUCUACAUCAAAGAGAAAGAUCCACUACAGAGAGAUUUACUGUUGAUGAAGAUUAUGUUGAAGCACGGAGAAGAAAUACAGGCACUAAGUGAAAAGAGGCAGAAAGAGGCAGAGGAGGCGCAAAAUAGAAGGGUGCCACGGAACUCAAAUGGGUCACAUGACGUAGACAAUGAGUCCCAAGCAUCGACAUCCCAGCUGUCUGACACAGCACUUCACCAACAAACAAUUGAUAAACU